rnacentral:rRNA from 1 species
GAUGAACGCUGGCGGCGUGCCUAAUACAUGCAAGUCGAGCGAAGCGGGCACGGGUGAGUAAUACGUAGCUAACCUCCUAUUAGACUGGGACAACUUCGGGAAACCGCAGCUAAACCCCAUACUUAUAGUUGGAUCCGCACUGCAUUAGCUAGUUGGUACGAUAACGGCUUACCAAGGCAACGAUGUAUAGCCGACCUGAGAGGGUUAUCGGCAACACGGGAACGAAGACACUGUCCAGAAUCCGACGGGAGGCAGCAGGAGGGAAUCUUCCGCAAGGGGCAGAAGCCAGACGGAUCAAAGCGGCGUGAGUGAUGAAGGUCUGCGGAUCGUAGAACACUGUUAUUAGGGGAGCGGUACCUAAUCAGAAAGCCACGGCUACCUACGUGCCAGCAGCCGCGGUAAUUC